rnacentral:rRNA from 1 species
CGGAGAGGGCGCAUGAGAGACGGCUACCAGGUCCAAGGACGGCAGCAGGCGCGAAAAUUACCGAAGCUCAAAUUGAGGCGGUAGUAAUGAAACGUAAAAUUCUAAAAGAAGAGUAAAAAUCUUUUUAAUAACUGGAGGUCAAGUCUGGUGCCAGCAUCCGCGGUAAUACCAGCUCCAGGGGUGUCUAUGAUGAUUGCUGCGAUUAAAAGGUCCGUAGUCGAAAUUAUUUAAUUGUUUGAAAAAUAUUAGUUCAAAUGAUAGUAAGAACAAUUAUGUAAUUGGAAGAAAUAACUAGGGGCAGGUUUAUCGAGCAACGAGAGGUGAAAUUUGAUGACUUGCUUGGGAGAAACAGAGGCGAAAGCGCCUGUCAAGAGUAUUUUUGAUGAUCAAGGACGUAGGCUGGAGUAUCGAACACGAUUAGAUACCGUAGUAGUUCCAGCAGUAAACUAUGCCUACGCUAUCGAAUAAAAGUUUGGUAGACGAGAAAUCAUGAGUAGGGCUUUGGGGAGAGUACACGCGCAAGCGAUAAAUUUAAAGGAAAUUGACGGAAGAACACCACAAGGAGUGGAGUGUGCGGCUUAAUUUGACUCAACGCGGGACAGCUUACCAGACCCGAGGACCAUAAGAGUGAGUACACGAUAGGUCUAAGAGUGGUGCAUGGCCGUUAUCGACGAGUGAAGUGAUUUUAUGGUUAAAUCCGACAAGUCGUGAGACCCUAAAUAUUAAUUUAUUUUUUUUAAUAAAACAGGUAUGAAAAUACAGGAAGGAUAGGACAAGAACAGGUCAGUGAUGCCCUUAGAUGGUUUGGGCUGCGCGCGCACUACAGUGGUUAUAAUAAUAAUAAAGAUAAGAAAAUAAAUAUAAUCGAGAGGGAUUGAGCACUGUAAAGUGCCCAUGAACGAGGAAUUGCUAGUAAUCGUAAAUCUCAGUAAGAUACGAUGAAUAUGUCCCUGUUCUUUGUACACACCGCCCGUCGUUAUCGAAGAUGGAGUUUUGCCCGAACGAGCUUUAGCGAGUGAGUGUAUGAUUCUAGAUCUGAUACAAGUCGUAACAAGGUAACC